AUUGAACGCUGGCGGCAGGCCUAACACAUGCAAGUCGAGCGAGAGGCGGACGGGUGAGAAAUGUCUCGGAAACUGUGCGAGGGAGGGGGAUAACAACUGGAAACGGUAGCUAAUAUCGCACAUCCUCACAUGUGCCCAGAUGGGAUUAUCUAGUAGGGGGGGGAACGGCUCACCUAGGCGACGAUCCCUAGCUGGUCUGAGAGGAUGACCAGCCACACUGGAACUGAGACACGGUCCAGACUCCUACGGGAGGCAGCAGUGGGGAAUAUUGCACAAUGGGCGCAAGCCUGAUGCAGCCAUGCCGCGUGUAUGAAGAAGGCCUUCGGGUUGUAAAGCACUUUCAGCGGGGAGGCGUUACCCGCAGAAGAAGCACCGGCUAACUCCGUGCCAGCCGCCGCGGUAAUAC
rnacentral:rRNA from 1 species